rnacentral:lncRNA from 1 species
UGACUAUGUCACAGUGAACGAAACAAGCGCGUGGAAAGCUGCUCCCUGUGUCUCUAAAAGGCAGUAAACAUCACCAACAAUGUAUCCCGAGCAUACAUUCUGUGACGCACUAACAAAAGCAAUCACUAUAAAUCACGUUGGUCAAGGACGUGAUUCCGCGACGCCGCGCCCCUGAGCGGGCGGCGGCAACGGCCCGCGGAGUCCCUUUUCCAGGCAAACCCGCCACCGCGUGGACCCGAGCGGAACCGCACCGCCGGCCGGGAACGCCCACGCCGGGAGCCUGUCACCGCGACCGCGGACCCGCGAGCCAGACCCCAAAGGGGAAAGCAGGCGCCUUAGACGGCUACCUGUCUCCCUCUGAGCAGCUGAGGGGCCCACGCAGUGGCGGUCAGGACAGAGCCCGGGGAGUCCUGAGCAACCAUGCCCCCCCACCCCCGCCCCCACGCCCAGAGGAAGCUGUUCUCCGAGGAACCUUGACCUCCAGGCCAGAUGGAGACCGCAGCGAGGUGCACCAGUGCACCAGUGCUGAAGCCUUCACAGACGGCAACAGAAACCUGGAGACGCUUCUCCCCCCACAUGCACUCCCCUUAGGCUUGGGGGGAGGGAGAUUGUUCUUUUAAUUUUCAACAUUAUUGUUUUUUAAUUUCAAACCUACAAAAACAUUAAAAGAAUAAAGCAAAGAAACCAGUAUGUCUUGCGCUUAAAUUUGCUGUUUGAUUAGGAUCUAGCUUAUCCUGCCACUAUUUGUUCUUUGCCAAAACAAAUACACACACACGUAUGUGUUAUAAUUUCCACACGUUUCUUAGACAGAACUUAGCAAAAUAAAUGCAACUGUUUCGAAUUUUGCUUUUUUCUGUGAAUAUAU